UGGGGAAUAUUGGACAAUGGGGGCAACCCUGAUCCAGCAAUGCCGCGUGUGUGAAGAAGGCCUGCGGGUUGUAAAGCACUUUCAGUGGGGAGGAGGUUUUGUUGGUUAAGAGCUGAUGAGAUGGACGUUACCCACAGAAGAAGCACCGGCUAACUCCGUGCCAGCAGCCGCGGUAAUACGGAGGGUGCAAGCGUUAAUCGGAAUUACUGGGCGUAAAGGGUGCGUAGGUUGUCGAAUAAGUUAUCUGUG
rnacentral:rRNA from 1 species